UUGGCUGUGAAAAAUACUAAC
ensembl:piRNA 21ur-2123 ncRNA